UUUUUUCUUUUUUUUUUCCAUCUUUCUUUCUAUUUUCCCUUAAACCAAACACAACCUAUAUUUAGGGUUUUGCAAAUCGCACGCAGCUGGUGCAUGGUUUUAGAGGGUUUAAGGAGAGAACAUCCAUACUCGGCUCCCUCAUCUGAAACUUAGAUCAAAGAACAAUGACAGCAAGAACAAAUGUUAGAUUGCAUUCCUCAAGAGGUGUGGAUUGAUAUCCUCACCAGACUCCCAAUCGAAACUCUCAUUCGAUGCAUCAGCAUAUCCAAAUCAUGGUUGUGGCUGAGUCAAAGGAUCAAAUUGAUGAAAGAGGCAAACUGUGAAGCCCUUCAAAGUACCAUAAUCCAAUAUUUAGCUUUUAGUUGUUUACCUAUCUCUACUUUAUAGAUAUAAUAGCUUUUUUAUGUAGUUAACACUUUACCUAAGUGAAGAUGUAUAUUCUCUAAUGUACUUUUUUGAGCAAUGUGGGUGAUAGUUCUCCCCAAGGAACUGAUUAUGUUUAUCAGGUGACUUCUUUUAUGCAAUUCUUAACGUAUCAAAUUCUCUUCUAUUAUUAUUUUUCA